GGGUGGGGCGCUUACCAGAGGUGAGGGGACACAGUGAUGUAGGUGGCCGGGCCCCCUGUGCCCCUGUUUUGGCGCCAACGUUGAAUCUGAGUUAACCAGCUGUUAUGAAUGUUAAAAUCCGUAUAAUCUGGUAUAAUUUAAAGGGAAGGAAGUUGUGUCUAUGCGUUAAUAAUGCAGUCGCCCUUGAUGGUGGAAGAAAGCGUAAAUAAUGUUUUAUUAUUGUUAUUAUCAUUUAAAUCACAUAACGUUAAAAAGUGAUCAUUUUGAGGUCUGUUUUCUUUGACUUUUUCCCCCUUUUCUUUAUUAUGAUUCAUAUAUAAUAUAAAUAUAAUAUAUUUUUAAUGGCAGUAUUUAAUGUCACUGUAAUUUUCAGGUCCAUUUUUUUUUUUUAUUCUCUUUUUAACAUUUUUUUUUCCACACUGUGUCGAAAAGUCGUAUAAAACUCUGUAAGAUAACUCUUUCGGAAGACGUCCGCGUGUGUUUAAUUCUAACAGCUUUCUCUUUAGAGCGUAACAAUGACGGUGUGCUUUUUAAAAAAAAUGUUUUUACCAGCUGCCUUUCGACUUCCGUUCGAAGCGAGUUUUUUUCGCGCUUUUCUCAGCGCGAGGAAACGUGUUGAAAUCCGCGUCUAAUGUCGCCACGUAUAAAGCGCUAAACGGUUUGUCCGUCGUGGACGCUUUCUGCCUUAGCGCGUUUCAUCGAAUGGAGGGACUGAUAGAAAAGCAAGAGUCCCGUCGGUUAUAAUAACUAUUAUUUUUAAAUAAAUAAAUAAAUAAAUAAAGCCUUAUUGGUAAAUAAAGGUAAAUAGAGAUUUAAAUAGAGUCACUUACGUUAAACUCGAUAUAUUUAAUCCCGCACCCUGGUCACGUGACCCUAAAUUCUCACCUGAUUACGUUGUAUUUGGAGCGAACCGAAUCAGUCUGGACGUGACCCGAGUGUGAAACACGCUAAUGAUAACACACCGAUCCAUGAGAGUGUGUGAGGAGAGCAGGAUGAUGUUCGCUCCACAUCUGUUUAUCAGUGACGGGAAUAAAUAAAUAAAUAAAUAAAUAAAUAAAUAAAUAAAUAAAUAAAUUCUCUCAGGUAUAUCGAAUAUAUAUAUAUAUAUAAAUCUAUAUAACAAGAUAAAUCUAUACAACAUUUUUAAAUAAAUGAUGGGAAAUAAAAGCCACUGCCAUUUUUGUCACGUCAGCUCAUCAUCCUUUGCUCUGUGAGUGGAGGCCGUGUGUGUUUUGUUUAUUUUUAUCUGUGUGGGUUUUCUUUAUGGGGCGUCGUUCAUGGGAAGGUUCUACACUCUCAGAACAAAACGGGUACUAAAGUGCAUAUACCCAAAAAACAAAUCCAGGAUCGUUCCCGAUUCCGUCGGACUUCUCCCUCCGGGGAUCUUUUGCAAUGUUACGAACUCUAAAAUCCACAAAAAUCUGGGGCUUAUAUAUAUAUAUACACACCACGAGUUUGCGCUCAAGGACAUAAAACUGCAGUGUUAUUCUGUAAAAAAUCUUUUCUGGUGUGGUUUCUUCUAUUACUACGUGUUUUAUCCAGGUCUUCUCGUCUUUUUUUAAAUUUUUUAUUAUUUUUUUUAAACUCUUCGGGGACUUUUAAACACUUACAACCAGUGUGUUUGUGGAUUUCCAAACUACCAGCAUUGAACAACUACAAAAAAAAACAAAAAACAACAACAACAACAACACAUUGUAACUACCAUUACUACUUCAAUUAAUAUGAGUCUUCUAGUACUGCUGAUUUUUUUUCUUUCUGUUUUUUUUUUCUUUCUUUUCGGUUCACUCCUCAAUCCCAAGUUUCACUGUGAUCGCUGAGGCGGCUGGGAAAUGAAGGCGUGUACUUCACGGUCACUCAGGGGUCCUGACCUGUCACAGGCUCGGGUCAGGGGUCAGCUCAUAGGUCAUUUAGCUGGACAUCUUUUUUUCUCCAAUGAAAGCAUUUCAGAUACCGAUCCUAGAGAAAUCGAGUGGACUGUGAUACGAUUAAGGGCGCAUACAAAUAGGACACAGCCAUCAAACAAAGUAAGAUCUGGGUAACAAAAGCAAAACAACAACAACAAAAAAAAAAGGUUGCUAAAUGCGAUCGAGCGCUGAGAUCCAGCCAUAAUGUACGAACGCGGUGCGUCACAGUCUUCAGUGCGCACCUCAGUCCAGUAACAGUAUUUACGAUUUUCAUAAAGAGCAGAUAUGCAGUAAGGCAACACACAGGACGUCUAUAUGCAAGGCAAGCGCUGGGUAAAAUGCACACACACACACACACACACACACACACACACACACAAAACACCUCCGAAUAUUUACUGUGAUCUCCUCUCACACCACCCACUCCCUCCCAACAUCCAUCACCUCUACUACCAGCAUCCUUUUCCCUGUCUACCCCCCCCCCCAACACACACGCACACACACUUCCUCCAAUACGAGUCCAGUGGGUGGUGUGAUGUCAGGUUUUUUUGUGGUGGGCUGUUUCUAACAGGUCCAGACAAUCAGCGUGUUUGUAAUUGUCAAUGUGUGAUUUUCCAAUUUUUUUGUUUUGUUUUUGUUUGUUUGUUUGUUUGUUUUUUUUGUUUGUUUUUUUCUUGUUUUGUUUUGUUUUAUGGUCAGGAUUUUAAAGGAAGAUAUUUUUAUGGUAAUUGUCGCUGGUCUAUUUUACUAUAUAUUUAUGUAAUAAAUAUGUGACUAAAUUUAUAUCACGGACUCCCUCGUUUGUUAUUGGCGUCUCUGUCCUCCAUGCUCGCUGGACGUCGGGGUUUGGAUCGGCUGUUUUAACAGCAUUUAAAGGAGCAGUUUGUAAUGUUUACUGCCCCCUGCUGGCUCUGAGGUGAAUUGAAAUUGCAAGUGAAUUUUUUUUUUCUCCAAACAUUCCUCCUCACUAAACACCUUGUGAAUUGCUUAUUUUUUUCUGUUUUUAAGAAAAUGCCUCCUAGCGGGCGGGACUAGUUUCCGGGCCAGAAAAAUAGAUUUUUUUUUAAAAAAGAAUUGAUAUGAAAAAGCAAAUCUUUGGGAAAA
ensembl:lncRNA